CACCAGGUUGAUUCUGCCUGACGUAGAUGCUAGUCUCUAAGAUUAAGCCAUGCAUGUUUCCGUAAUUAGGGACGAAUAGCUCAGUAAAACUGCGAUAAUUUAGUCCGUUUGAGUAGAUAACUACGUGAAAAUGUAGCUAAGGGAGAGCAGAAUAAGACGCAGGACUAUCAGUUAGUUGGUAGUGUAAUGGACUACCAAGACUAUGACGGAUAACGGGAAAUUAGGGUUUUAUACCGGAGAGGGAGCCUGAGAGAUUGCUCCCACGUCCAAGGACGGCAGCAGGCGCGAAAAUUGCCCACUCUUGUAGGAGGCAGUUAUGAGACGUAAAAUAGAAUAUUCUGUAAAGAAGAAUAAGAGAAUUGGAGGGCAAGUUUGGUGCCAGCAGCCGCGGUAAUACCGACUCCAAGAGUGUGUAUGAGAGAUGCUGCAGUUAAAAAGUCCGUAGUCAUAAAAACAGAAAUACUAAAUAAACAAUGAUAUUUUAAUGAUAGAGGAACCGAUGGGGAACAUAGUAUACCAGGGCGAGAGAUGAAAUGCCAAGACCCCUGGUGGACUAAGCGAGGCGAAGGCGAUGUUCUUGUAGGUAUUCGAUGAUCAAGGACGAAGGCAGGAGUAUCGAAAGUGAUUAGAUACCGCAGUAGUUCCUGCAGUAAAAUAUGCCGACAUGUUUAUUGGUAACAAUGGACAGGGAGAAAUCUUAGUGUUCGGGCUCUGGGGAUAGUAUGCUCGCAAGAGUGAAAAUUAAAGAAAUU
rnacentral:rRNA from 1 species